AUUGAACGCUGGCGGCAUGCCUUACACAUGCAAGUCGAACGGCAGCACGGGAGCAAUCCUGGUGGCGAGUGGCGAACGGGUGAGUAAUAUAUCGGAACGUGCCCAGUCGUGGGGAUAACGUAGCGAAAGCUACGCUAAUACCGCAUACGAUCUAUGGAUGAAAGCGGGGGAUCGCAAGACCUCGCGCGAUUGGAGCGGCCAAUAUCAGAUUAGGUAGUUGGUGAGGUAAAGGCUCACCAAGCCGACGAUCUGUAGCUGGUCUGAGAGGACGACCAGCCACACUGGGACUGAGACACGGCCCAGACUCCUACGGGAGGCAGCAGUGGGGAAUUUUGGACAAUGGGCGCAAGCCUGAUCCAGCAAUGCCGCGUGCAGGAUGAAGGCCUUCGGGUUGU
rnacentral:rRNA from 1 species